GGCCGAUGACGAUCGUGCGGUUCCGAGCCGGCCUGACGACCCGGCCGUGACGAACCCUAUGAGUGCCGAGGCC
rnacentral:snoRNA from 1 species